rnacentral:rRNA from 1 species
UUAGGAAUCUUGGACAAUGGGCGCAAGCCUGAUCCAGCCAUGCCGCGUGAGUGAUGAAGGCCUUAGGGUUGUAAAGCUCUUUCAGCGGGGAAGAUAAUGACGGUACCCGCAGAAGAAGCCCCGGCUAACUUCGUGCCAGCAGCCGCGGUAAUACGAAGGGGGCUAGCGUUGCUCGGAAUCACUGGGCGUAAAGCGCACGUAGGCGGAUUGUUAAGUCAGGGGUGAAAUCCUGGAGCUCAACUCCAGAACUGCCUUUGAUACUGGCGAUCUCGAGUCCGGGAGAGGUGAGUGGAACUCCGAGUGUAGAGGUGAAAUUCGUAGAUAUUCGGAAGAACACCAGUGGCGAAGGCGGCUCACUGGCCCGGUACUGACGCUGAGGUGCGAAAGCGUGGGGAGCAAACA